rnacentral:rRNA from 1 species
GAUGAACGCUAGCUACAGGCUUAACACAUGCAAGUCGAGGGGUAACGAGAGGAAAGCUUGCUUUCCUUGUCGACGACCGGCGCACGGGUGAGUAACGCGUAUCCAACCUGCCCCCAACUAGGGAAUAACCUUGCGAAAGUAAGACUAAUACCCUAUAAUUUCCUCAGAUGUCAUCUGACGAGGAAUAAAGAUUUAUCGGUUGUGGAUGGGGAUGCGUCUGAUUAGCUUGUUGGCGGGGUAACGGCCCAUCAAGGCAACGAUCAGUAGGGGUUCUGAGAGGAAGGUCCCCCACAUUGGAACUGAGACACGGACCAAACUCCUACGGGAGGCAGCAGUGAGGAAUAUUGGUCAAUGGGCGGAAGCCUGAACCAGCCAAGUAGCGUGCAGGAUGACGGCCCUAUGGGUUGUAAACUGCUUUUAUACAGGAAUAAAGUUAGCCACGUGUGGUUAUUUGUAGGUACUGUAUGAAUAAGGACCGGCUAAUUCCGUGCCAGCAGCCGCCGUAA